UCUAAAUCCUCAGAGCUGAAGAGGUAGGCAUGCAUCUCAUCUUCAGCAGAAGUGUCGUCCACAUUCCUGACUCUGACUUUCUGGGCAACAGUUCUCUUCAGGGAUGCUCUCGAGGCCCUGCAGCAGUAAAGACAUGCGAUUCUCAAUAUUGGCCAGUUUCUCCAAGGUGCUGAGGUUGGUAAUUCUGUCAUCCACGCAGCAGCGAUGGACCUCUACCACCUUCUCACCCAGAGCAUCCAACAUAACAUCCUGCAAGCACAACAAGGAUGUGGAGUAGAUCAAAGAGGAGGAAAAAAAUGAAGAGAGAAGAUAAUGACACCAGAUACCGCUUACAACUGCUAAUGCCACUGUACAUGAUGUCUGGGUGUGUGUUGCUCAGAUCUUGGAUUAAAAUGCAGUUUAACACA